rnacentral:rRNA from 1 species
UACGUAGGGUGCGAGCGUUGUCCGGAAUUAUUGGGCGUAAAGGGCUCGUAGGCGGUUUGUCGCGUCGGGAGUGAAAUCCACUGGCUUAACUGGUGGCUUGCUUUCGAUACGGGCAGACUGGAGGUAUGCAGGGGAGAACGGAAUUCCUGGUGUAGCGGUGAAAUGCGCAGAUAUCAGGAGGAACACCGGUGGCGAAGGCGGCAUCCUGGACCGGCAUUGACGCUGAGGCGCGAAAGCCAGGGGAGCAAACGGG